GAUGAAGAACGUAGCGAAAUGCGAUAAGUAAUGUGAAUUGCAGAAUUCAGUGAAUCAUCGAAUCUUUGAACGCACAUUGCGCCCCCUGGUAUUCCGGGGGGCAUGCCUGUCCGAGCGUCAUUACAACCCUCAAGCUCAGCUUGGUGUUGGGCCCCGCCCGCUGUGGCCGGCCCUAAAGACAGUGGCGGCGCCGCCUGGCCCUCAGCGUAGUACAUCUCUCGCUCCAGGGUCCGGUGGCCGCCUGCCAGAACCCCCCAACUCUGUGGUUGACCUCGGAUCAGGUAGGGAUACCCGCUGAACUUAAGCAUAUCAAUAAGCGGAGGA
rnacentral:misc_RNA from 1 species